rnacentral:rRNA from 1 species
UACGUAGGGUGCUAGCGUUGUCCGGAUUUAUUGGGCGUAAAGGGCUCGUAGGCGGUCUGUCGCGUCGGCUGUGAAAACCCGGAGCUCAACUCCGGGCCUGCAGUCGAUACGGGCAGACUGGAGUUCGGCAGGGGAGACUGGAAUUCCUGGUGUAGCGGUGAAAUGCGCAGAUAUCAGGAGGAACACCGGUGGCGAAGGCGGGUCUCUGGGCAGUAACUGACGCUGAGGAGCGAAAGCGUGGGGAGCGAACAGG